CAUAAGUGAGACCGCUCUCUGUUCCUACUUCCUAAUCAGCUCUGCCUAAGAAGGGUCAUAACUUUUUCUUUUUCUUUUACCUCAGAUUUAUGAAUUUUACUAUGGGAUCAUUUGUAAACACGUUUCAGGUUCACAAUUGAAUUGAACGAAAUGAAAACAUAGUUUUCUUAAAUUGACACAUGUCCUGUUUUUUAAACCUAAUCCCCCCUCCACAAAGUUAUGUAUUGAUUUUGGCCUUGUGAGUUGUUGCAUAA
rnacentral:lncRNA from 1 species